rnacentral:lncRNA from 1 species
UUUGAGGGCCAUAAAUUAUAACUCGUCUAAUAUGAUACACCUCAAAAGUAUUGAAGGACCUAGUUAAUUGAUAAAAAAAUAAAAGAACCAAAAGAAUAUCUAAUGUAGUUUAAGCAAAUGUUCAAGCCCCAACUUUAAUAGCUAAUGAACUCGCAAUGCGCAAAACCCACACUUGGAUUGUUGAAGGAAUUCAGGCUGACUAGGGGUGGGCCCAAUGGCUGAUUGCGAAUUAUGUGAACAAAAACAUGAGAACGUAAUAGGGCUUAGCAUAUAGCCCAGAUAGGGAAUAUGCCUGCCGAGAAAAAGGGAUUCCGCACAUCUGGGCCAACGACAUUAAGCCCAAGCAGCAUGUGAUGAAACAAUCUUAUUCUCAAAUGACACUAAAUUCACCCAAAUAAUAAGCAGGAAUCUUAUGAGAAUAACCUGCCGACUACUUUAAAUCUUUAAACACAUAGCCUUCCACAGAAUUGGAUAAAAGACCAAAGCUCAGCUAUUUCAUACUAUAUCCGCAACAUAAUUAAGCUAAUAGAAUUCACAUAUAGUUAAAUGAUUACAAGAAAAUGACUAGGAUGGAGAAACAGGGAAAAAUAAUUAUUCAAUAACUCGAACUGUUAUCAUUAUGCGUCCAGAUUCACAUUUUGCAUAUUACAACUCCAAAAGUUAACCAUGGUUUGAGUAAUAGCUGAAUGUAAUAGAAAAACAAAGAGAAAUGAGGAGUUAGCAUCAGAAUCAGCCCAUCAUCAGCAAUAAAACAGUAUGAAAUCAGUAGAGCAAGCUUCAAAUUCCCAACCCAAUUCUAAACUUCUAAAACCCAGAUUGAAUGGUUAUAUUGAACUCUUGAAAUUCUGAUUUAUCAAAGGAAUUAUAACUCAAAAACCAAGCAAAUUUCAAGCAAUUUUUAGUGCUUUUUACUUGAGAGAAAUACCCAGUCAUUUUUCAAUUUUUUUUGUGUUUUUCUAUAUCGAAAAUAUAACUUGCUAAAGAAGAAAGUAUUCCUUUAUAGGCAAGCAUUAGGGAAGCAGAAAAAUGAAUUCAGCUUUUCACUUUAAUCCUUUUUGGAAUUUUUAUUUUUGCUCUCAUGUUCUUGGUUUAAAGUCAAUUUUUCCGAGUUAGUCCAAAUCCCACCUUCUAGGCAGCUUUUUAAGUUAGUUACAAGAUAUUCCCUAACCUAAAAUUCCUAAUGCAACCCUUAAAGCCUUGAAAAUUACUUCUGAAACCUCAUGGGUCAAGUUGACCCGUUAAAAUAAAACCAAAUGAAUGGGUUGUACUUGACAAUGGGGCAACAAUGACCUCGAAGCUCAAACUAAAUUCUGUAAUCUAUGGAAGGAAGAAGAAAACGAAAAGUCCAUUUAGAUGAUUUCAAAACUAAAAUUUAAACAAAAUGACUAAUUACUAAUCACAAGUGAGCAUGGAACUAACUAGGUUAACCAAUCGAAAUAAACCUAAUUAAACUAAACUCUGAGACUAAAAUAAACGGGGAAAAUCAGAAAUUUAAGCAUGCCACUAAUAAAAUCUAAACAUGCCGAAUGCACAUAACAAACAAAACUAACGAAAUUUUUAAAAGCAAACUGGAAAAACGCACGGGAUAAAUACAACUACCAAAACAAACAAGGAAACUUAGAUUCAGAUGUUAACAAUUUCAUCAAAUUCAUUAGAAGAAAUUAAACUAAAAAAAUAAAAGAAAGAGGGAGGAGCAGAUGUGAAACCGACGAAGAUGGAUAUAAAAAAAAUGAAUUAAAACUCACUUAUUAAAGUCGAAAUAAACUAGAUACAUUCUGAUUAACCCAAAAUAAUAUCAAUCACUUGUUCUUUGUCAAGAACAAGCGAACAUCAUUAUUUUGUGAUAAACCAUCCUUGAACACUCAAAACUCGGAGUAAUAGCCUUGCAUGCAUAGAUCUGAGAGUAGGCAUUUUAGGCUUUUAGGGGUUCGAACUCAUAUCCAAGAUUCGACGAGUUUCAGAAAGAUUCAAGGGAAACCAAUUAGAGAUUGGGAGAGAGGGAGCCACGACGAAUUCAUGGUGUUGAUUGGGACGAUUUGGGGGUGGUGCCGCCAUCAGAGAGGGUACGGAUUUUGGGAAGGGGGAUUAGGGUUAGGCUUUCUCUAAAGAGGGAGGUGAAGAGUGCUAAUGUAAUAGGAAGG